UACGGAGGGUGCAAGCGUUAUUCGGAAUUACUGGGCGUAAAGCGCACGCAGGCGGUCUGUCAAGUCGGAUGUGAAAUCCCCGGGCUCAACCUGGGAACUGCAUUCGAAACUGGCAGGCUAGAGUCUUGUAGAGGGGGGUAGAAUUCCAGGUGUAGCGGUGAAAUGCGUAGAGAUCUGGAGGAAUACCGGUGGCGAAGGCGGCCCCCUGGACAAAGACUGACGCUCAGGUGCGAAAGCGUGGGGAGCAAACAGG
rnacentral:rRNA from 1 species